AGUAGCGGGUCUGAGAGGAUGAUCCGCCACACUGGGACUGAGACACGGCCCAGACUCCUACGGGAGGCAGCAGUGGGGAAUUUUGGACAAUGGGGGCAACCCUGAUCCAGCCAUUCCGCGUGAGUGAAGAAGGCCUUCGGGUUGUAAAGCUCUUUCAGCUGGAACGAAACGGUUCGCUCUAACAUAGCGUGCUAAUGACGGUACCAGCAGAAGAAGCACCGGCUAACUACGUGCCAGCAGCCGCGGUAAUACGUAGGGUGCGAGCGUUAAUCGGAAUUACUGGGCGUAAAGCGUGCGCAGGCGGAUUGUUAAGCAAGACGUGAAAUCCCCGGGCUUAACCUGGGAAUGGCGUUUUGAACUGGCAGUCUAGAGUGCGUCAGAGGGGGGUGGAAUUCCACGUGUAGCAGUGAAAUGCGUAGAGAUGUGGAGGAACACCAAUGGCGAAGGCAGCCCCCUGGGAUGACACUGACGCUCAUGUACGAAAGCGUGGGUAGCAAACAGGAUUAGAUACCCUGGUAGUCCACGCCCUAAACGAUGUCAACUGGUUGUUGGGGGAG
rnacentral:rRNA from 1 species